rnacentral:rRNA from 1 species
GAUGAACGCUGGCGGCGUGCCUAAUACAUGCAAGUCGAGCGAAUGGAUUAAGAGCUUGCUCUUAUAAAGUUAGCGGCGGACGGGUGAGUAACACGUGGGUAACCUGCCCAUAAGACUGGGAUAACUCCGGGAAACCGGGGCUAAUACCGGAUAACAUUUUGAACCGCAUGGUUCGAAAUUGAAAGGCGGCUUCGGCUGUCACUUAUGGAUGGACCCGCGUCGCAUUAGCUAGUUGGUGAGGUAACGGCUCACCAAGGCAACGGUGCGUAGCCGACCUGAGAGGGUGAUCGGCCACACUGGGACUGGGACACGGCCCAGACUCCUACGGGAGGCAGCAGUAGGGAAUCUUCCGCAAUGGACGAAAGUCUGACGGAGCAACGCCGCGUGAGUGAUGAAGGCUUUCGGGUCGUAAAACUCUGUUGUUAGGGAAGAACAAGUGCUAGUUGAAUAAGCUGGCACCUUGACGGUACCUAACCAGAAAGCCACGGCUAACUACGUGCCAGCCGCCGCCGUAA